GGCGCUGUCCUUCCUUUUCCCCCCGCCUGUCGGACCGUCUUAUCUGUCAGCCCCGCUCCUCCCCGCCUCCUGCAGCUGCGACCUCGGGCCACAGACGCCUUCAUUGUCCUCCUCUUCCUCGCCCUCACGCUCCUGCGCCCGGCCACAUCACACCUGCCACCUGCGCCGGGCCGCCGGGCCCCGGGGCCCGAGCCGCCCAGGGCUUUUCAUCCACCCCUCCAGAGCCUCUCAUCCCCUCGUCCCGGCGCCCUGUCACUGAGGAAUGGCCGGAGCACGGGAGGCCGAGGAGCAGCGGGGCACAGGGCUGCCGUUGUGGCGGCGGGUGUUUUAAGCAGAGCCAGAGGGAAUCAGCGCAGAGCAAGAAAGAUUAAGAGGGAGAAUACGGCAGAUAAACCGCAGCUCCUCUGUGACCGGUUAUCAUAUCCUGGGCGAGAGCAGAACAUGCUGAAGAGGCCAGAAGACAAAAACACUCCGACUGAUGCAUGAGGCGUCGCUAAAGACGAGUAAAACACGCUCACUGAUCCUUCUCUAACUCUUAGAUUUCUUUUUGCAUACACUGAAUGCAAUAAAGCACAUAGUUCUGACAUUGUUAACAGCAGAGUGUGUGAAGAACUGCGGAUCUAUUUGUUUUUCUGUUGUGUGUUUUGGUUUUUAUUCCCUUUCUCAUGUGUUACUUUGAUGCAAUGAAAGACUUUGCAUUUUUUUCACAAAUCUGCAAACAGAAGUUUAUUGUAUUUCAGUUUGAAAGUCAAAGUUUGCAUGAAAUUAUCUGAAUGAUUCACCAAUCACGCAGAUUGAUUGAGAAGGGUGCGAGUGUGGCGGAGUUACUGUCUGUUUCUCUGUUUGCUCUGUGAUCUGUUGUCUGUUGUCGUGGUUCUGGGGAAGAAACCCUUUUCCAGUCUGGAUAAACCAAACAGUUUGCUGUUUCUGAUCCUGUAGCUUCUCUCUGACAGAAAGACGGCAAACAGUUCUUGUUUGUCUUCCAGAUUUCUUUCUUCUGGUCGAGUAGCAUCACCAGUGAUCAACAGUCAAGCACCCGCACACACAUUCACACAAAUAAACCUGACAAGUGUGUCUGGAAUGCAUUAAGAUGCAAUCACAUUUAAAAUAAAUAAAUAAAUCCCACAUAUCUUCUCUGAUUGAAUCUUUUUUCUUACAGUCCUCAAAACUGAAAACUCAUCCGUUCAUUUGAUGCAGAUACAUUUUAAAGUAUGAGAAGUUAACUGAAAUGUGGAGUGUGAAAACUUCAAGCGGUUUCUGUUCGAUUAUGAAAAUGAUAUUUUGAAAAGGUUUCUCUGUGAUUUUUUUUUCUUUUUCUUUUGUUACCUGACA